AGGAAAAGCAUUCGGACGCCAGCACCGCUGGAUGCCAGGGAUGGAGAGGCAGCCUGACCCAGGGAGCGCUUCUCCAUAGAGCCAAGCCCCGAGAUUUCCUAGAGGAUUUUCUCUGUGAGCAGUAUCAAUAACACCAAUAUCAUUUUUCCAUGUAAUAUCUUUCUCCUCCCAAGUGGAUCUUCACUCUCAAACAGUUGGCAUCAUCCCCCAAGAGUAGCUUGCAUUGCUAAUGAUGCCUGCUCACUUCUGGAACACUUACCAUACUGCACCAUUCAGUCUCAAGGACAACCAGAACUCACUUACUAAAGGAAAUAUAAACAAAGUAGCUUAGCAAUCUCCUACUUGAGUGUGGGGCGGGGCUAUGAGGAGACUGACAGGCUGUGUACAAGCGUAGAGUACCAGGACAUCACCUGGUGCUCGGGAAGAAUUCCGAGGUUCCCGUCUGAAAUGGUGGAGGGCUAUAUGCCCCAUCCAUGCAAGUUAACUCAGGCCCGGUGCUCUGAGACGUAUGUGACGUAAACUCCACAAGAGUCGCUGACGCCUUCUGAGUACCUCCAGCGUUGUCUAGAUGAGUAAGAGAAGGACUUGUAAGAGGUCUGAAGAAGGAGGUCAGCAAAUAUUUAAAGAAGGCUUUUCUGUGAUACUGUGACUGCUUUGGCAUGGUGACCCUACUUGAACUUCUCCAGAGGAUGCCCACAGGAUUGGAUUCUGAUUCUCCCAGGAUGGGAAGGUCUUCAGAUCCCAAAGAUUUUUCCUCUCUGUCUCACUUGCAGUUGUCGAUUUUAUUAUAAGACUUUUUAAAGUUUUAGUAUUAUCAAAAUAAUGUGAGUGAAGAGUUUAAAGUAAUCGAAACCAUUGGGCAUCCGCCCCGCCCCCACCAUCCUCCUUGCAACCUCCAUUUAUAGUCCUGCAUGGUCACUUGCAGCUCUCUCAGAAGUCCUGGUGGGCGCCCCAGGGAGAAAUGACACACUCUGCUACCUCCUGACUUCUUAGUUCAUUGUCUGCUGACAUCUACAGAAACCGGGGUCUGCUUCCUGUCUCAGACAAAGCCUCCAAUGUAUUACAUAAGCACAUUGCCCAUCUUGAUGCCCUCUAAUACACAGAUAUCACAAUUAUUGCCAAUAUGCAUAGUUUCCAACUGUUUCAUAAGCAUACCUUAUCAUGUAUUUUAUUUGGCUAUCGUGUCCCCUUAGUCCAUUUUCAUCUAGAACAGUUCCUCUCUGAUUUACUCUUUGCGUGGCAUUAACUUUAGUUUUGCUUCGCUUUGCUUUGCUUCAUUGAGACAGUCUCAAUGUAUAAUCCCAACUGGCGUUGAAUCUGCAACCCUGCCGCCUCCAUCUCCAGAGUGCUGGGAUUAUAGGCUUGUGACAGAAGACCUGGUGACGUUGGCAUUCUUUAAUAAUGUGGGUGUAUUAGUUACCUUACUCACUGCUGCCACCAACAUGACAAGAAGUAACUUAAGGAAGGAAAGAUUUGUUCUGGCUCACAGGUGGAGGAUAUCAUCCAUCAUGUUGGCAAGAGGGUGACGCAUCCACAAUUAGGGAACAGAGUCCCGUGGACACGGAUACUCAAGUUCCUUUCGCCUUUUAUUCAGUACCCCAGCCCAUAGAAUGGCUCCGCCCACAUCUAAGGAGGGUCUUCCACCUCAGUUAUCCAGUCUGGAAAUUCCCUCCCAGACACGCCCAGGCUUCGUUUUCGUGGUGAUUUUAAAUGCCACCAAAUUGCCAAGAUGAAUCAUCACAGCCAACAAUAUAGGACAAGGCAGACCUUCAUGAUUUCUUUUCCCCAUGAAUAGAUUAAGAAUAAUAUUUUCCGGCAAGGUGAUAUUGCCAACUUCCCUGGUGUAUGAUUUCAGGUGUCACACAAAGCUAGUGGCAUGACUAAUGAUGCCAAUUUCAAUCGGUGAUUUGGAGAUGACUGCAAGGUGUCAGCGUCGGAAAGGCUCAUCUUCCUUUCAUUAACAAGUCAUCUUUUGGGUGACAAUGUGAGGCCACACUCUGUGUUCCUGGUGGCCUGAUAACUUGAGGAAUUAUCGAGAUAUGAAACUUCAGACUGUACCUCUGUUGUUAGCAGUCGUAUUAGAGCAGCAGUUGUGAACAAUGCUGAAAAUUUUAUAGGUACAAGUGAACAGACCUACAAGCAAUGACAUUACAGUGACAAGAGGCACAUCAACUGCCUAGAUCCUGGUUUCUAAGUAACAGUUCUGGUGGGGGAAAAAAACGGGGGAAGCUUGGGGGUGUGACAAAUUCCAGACCACUAGUAAGCUAAAAACAGAUUGCCUUGCUUGACUCAGGGACAUUCUCUUAGACCAAUAAGAAUGAGUCAAAGAAGAGUGAAGACUGGGCUUAGUGGGUCUCACAGGUCAGUUUGGGGCUAUUAUGACAUUAACAAAAAAUGACCAUUAAGAUGGAAAGGAAUCCGUCAGCUCAUAUGGUAACUUCCAAGGGUGGACACAGAGAAGAAAGCGUUUUCUGCACAAAAUUCUCUGUUUACUGUCUGAUGAAGGAAUGGUAGAAUUAGGAAAGGAGCAUCUUACAACUCCUGUGUAAUGACUGACUGUCAGUAAGUAGUAAUAAGCAGGCUUUUGAUGAUGAACUUGGGAAAGGUACAAUUGCAACCUCAUCUGUAACCUACAAAAUUGUCAUCCCUUGUCUUAAAACAACAAGAUGAAUAGUCCCUCAUAUCUGCAAAUAAAAAUCUUCCUUCCACUUGA